rnacentral:rRNA from 1 species
GACGAACGCUGGCGGCGUGCUUAACACAUGCAAGUCGAACGGAAAGGCCCUGCUUUUGUGGGGUGCUCGAGUGGCGAACGGGUGAGUAACACGUGAGUAACCUGCCCUUGACUUGGGGAUAACUUCAGGAAACUGGGGCUAAUACCGGAUAGGAGCACUUGCUGCAUGGUGGGGGUUGGAAAGUUUCGGCGGUUGGGGAUGGACUCGCGGCUUAUCAGCUUGUUGGUGGGGUAGUGGCUUACCAAGGCUUUGAUGGGUAGCCGGCCUGAGAGGGUGACCGGCCACAUUGGGACUGAGAUACGGCCCAGACUCCUACGGGAGGCAUCAGUGGGGAAUAUUGCACAAUGGGCGGAAGCCUGAUGCAGCAACGCCGCGUGCGGGAUGACGGCCUUCGGGUUGUAAACCGCUUUCGCCUGUGACGAAGCGUGAGUGACGGUAAUGGGUAAAGAAGCACCGGCUAACUACGUG